rnacentral:miRNA from 1 species
GAAACCGUCCGAAACUUGCUCG